GCCCGCGUGGCGCAAUGGUUAGCGCGUCAGACUUUUAUCUUCAUCCUGUGAAGAAAUCUGAAUGUUGCGAGUUCGAAUCUCGCCGUGGGCG